CAAUAGCGUAUACUAAAGUUGUUGCAGUUAAAAAGCUCGUAGUUGAAUUUCUGGUCGUGGCGAUCGGUCCGCCCCUCACGGGGUGUGCACCUGGUCUCUACGUCCAUCCUCGGGGAGAGCACAUCUGGCAUUCAGUUGUCGGGUGUGGGAUCCUCGUCAUUUACUGUGAGCAAAAUAGAGUGUUCAAAGCAGGCUUAGGCCGUUGAAUACAUUAGCAUGGAAUAAUAAGAUAGGACCUUGGUCUAUUUUGUUGGUUUGCAUUCCAAGGUAAUGAUUAAUAGGGAUAGUUGGGGGUAUUCGUAUUCAAUUGUCAGAGGUGAAAUUCUUGGAUUUAUGGAAGACGAACUACUGCGAAAGCAUUUACCAAGGAUGUUUUCAUUAAUCAAGAACGAAAGUUAGGGGAUCGAAGACGAUCAGAUACCGU
rnacentral:rRNA from 1 species